CUUGAGCGCUGUCGGCGGGCCUAACACAUGCAAGUCGAGCGAGCGGCGGACGGGUGAGUAAUGUAUGGGAAACUGCCUGAUAGAGGGGGAUAACGGCUGGGAACGGUCGCUAAUACCGCAUACCAUCAGAUGUGCCCCGAUGGGAUUAGCUAGUAGGGGGGGUAAUGGCUCACCUAGGCGACGAGCCCUAGCUGGUCUGAGAGGAGGACCAGCCACACUGGAACUGAGACACGGUCCAGACUCCUACGGGAGGCAGCAGUGGGGAAUAUUGCACAAUGGGCGCAAGCCUGAUGCAGCCAUGCCGCGUGUGUGAAGAAGGCCUUCGGGUUGUAAAGCACUUUCAGCGAGGAGGCGUUACUCGCAGAAGAAGCACCGGCUAACUCCGUGCCAGCAGCCGCGGUAAUAC
rnacentral:rRNA from 1 species